rnacentral:rRNA from 1 species
GAUGAACGCUGGCGGCGUGCCUAAUACAUGCAAGUCGAGCGAACAGAUGAGGAGCUUGCUCCUCUGACGUUAGCGGCGGACGGGUGAGUAACACGUGGAUAACCUACCUAUAAGACUGGGAUAACUUCGGGAAACCGGAGCUAAUACCGGAUAAUAUAUUGAACCGCAUGGUUCAAUAGUGAAAGACGGUUUUGCUGUCACUUAUAGAUGGAUCCGCGCCGCAUUAGCUAGUUGGUAAGGUAACGGCUUACCAAGGCAACGAUGCGUAGCCGACCUGAGAGGGUGAUCGGCCACACUGGAACUGAGACACGGUCCAGACUCCUACGGGAGGCAGCAGUAGGGAAUCUUCCGCAAAGGGCGAAAGCCUGACGGAGCAACGCCGCGGGAGUGAUGAAGGUCUUCGGAUCGUAAAACUCUGUUAUUAGGGAAGAACAAAUGUGUAAGUAACUAUGCACGUCUUGACGGUACCUAAUCAGAAAGCCACGGCUAACUACGUG